rnacentral:lncRNA from 1 species
ACAUGGGAUUAGAAGUACAUACAUUCGUCCCCACUAUUGAAUCAAAUCACCAAUCUUAAAUCAAACCCUUUUGGAGUAAUUUUUUGUAAUAUAUAUAGAAUUUAAUCACAUGUAAAAAAAAAUAAUAAAAUAAAAUAAAAUUGUAAUAGAGACUACAAACACAUGUAACUGUCAUACUUUUUAAUUAUUAUACAAAACCAAUGCUCCAAUUAUUAAUACAAUAUGAAUUUUGCACGCAUGAAUUUAUGAAGGAGUUCGAUCAAAGUCUCACACCUUAAUAUACUCAAGUGAUUAUUCGAUAAGUAAUUUCAUAAUGGUUAUUCCAAGAACGACAUAAUGGUGGAUAUGAACAAAAUCAUUAUCCAAUGGAACUUCCCUGGCAAAAACGACGUAGCUGCCAAUGAAAAAACGAGAAAGAAAUAUUAAACUCUCAAAGUUAAAUUCAUUUUAUAACAAUGAUGCAUCAUUCUUUAUGAAAAAUUAAAAUUUCAAAUCAAUCGGCUAAAAGGUAACAAAACAGUGAGAACGCAUGCAGCAUAUAUCAGUAUGUAUAUUUUGUCGUGUUUUUGCAACCAUUGACUUUCUACUAAAUCAAUCCAUUUUAAAGUCGUAACGUGUACGGCUUAAAUAAGUCAUAAAGUCGUGUUCUAGAAUAAAAUGCGACCUUUGCCUCGUAAUAUUAAUUACUUGACAAUUACCGUAGCUUCCAUUUUCAAAAUACCUACCUACCAAAUAUUGAUA